GUUUUUGUAAACAAGCGCGCGCGGGCCAGCCUCUGCCCGCGCGAACACGAACGCUAAAUUUGGAUUUUUAUUCCCUGAAUUUCAGUGCCGCUCCGACCUCUCUCCCCUCACACCUCCUCUCUCUCUGCGCUUUUUCCUCAGGUCUCUCGCCCCUGGUUUGUCCGCGCGCCUUGACGACCUCGCGGAGGACGGACGAAGGGCAGGUGGACCGAGGCGCGCGCGCGCGCAGUGAUUCAGCCGGUGGUGGGGUGCAUUUCCCAGACUUUACACCGCACCACCUUCAGAACCACAGCCUUUGAUGUGGCCCAGAUUUCCAUCCGUCAGAGUUCUUGGUGGAGGGAAGGUCUGGAGCUCUCUGCUGCUGCUGAAGGCGUUUGGACAUCAUGAAGUGAAGGCCCGUGUGCUGGAAAAGCAAAGGCUCUCUGGCUCAGAGUGGAGAGGAAGGCGCUUGGAUGUUUCCUCCUCCUUGGGAGGAAGCUGGAGCUCCCCGGCCAAACCCGCCGGCGCUGGUUUCCCCUGAGGGCGGUGCACGCCGCCCGGGCCAUGAGCAGAGAUGUGAGCGGACCUCCAGCACCGCCAUGCUGCAAACUGGAUCCUCUCUGCACUGAAGCAGUGAUUUCCUCUUCCCAGAUGGAGAUGAGGAGAGGCGGCAUGGCGGUCUGACUGUCAGCUCAAAGACCUUCAAGAUUUUAUUUUCCCCCUUUACUCCUCUUUCUUUUCCUUACUUCCUCUCACUCUUUUUCCCACAGAUCUGUUUGCUUAAAAGAUGUCCUCUGCUCAUUUUCGUUUGUUUGCUUUGUACCUUAAUCCCCCAGAUUUAGUGUAAUCAUAAAUAUUACCUCAAGUUUGUCACACAAAUUCAAAAGUGUGGUUUCUAUGGCAACCAUCAGCCAGCAGCUGACCUGUCUGUCAUGUUCGUGUCAGAUAACACAGUCCUACACAUUUGUCUUUUUUACUUUUAAAUUUUUGAAUGCUCAAAAAAAAGGAAUUGAAAGUUUAAAAAAAACUCUGUGUGUGUGUGUGUGUGUGUGUGUUUGUGGUCCUCCUGAAGGGGGCGCCAGAAACACUCUGCUCAGCUGAAGGACUCUGUGUGUGCGUCAUCAUGGUUUUUAAGGCUCACACCUGCUUGUGAUUGUUUUGCAGGGACUUUUAUCUAAAUGUAAUUGAGUUCAAACAAGUCUUUUGUUUGAGGAGCUGCUCUGGAGUGGAUCUGCGGCGCCGGCAUCAAGUUUUAAGUCAAACUUGUCAGAUGGCAGCGUGGAAAUUAAAGGUAAACACGGCGGCGACUGACGUCCAACUUUAAGUGCAGAUUCACAAAUCCAGAAGAGAUCAUGUUUGUAUUUACUCCAAGUUUAAAUGUUUCUCUUUUUCAAACGUAGCUGAGAUCUUAUUGUUCCACCGUUCACAUUUGGAACUUUUAUUAAAGAUCCCAUCCGAUAAAAA